rnacentral:rRNA from 1 species
UACGUAGGGGGCAAGCGUUGUCCGGAAUCAUUGGGCGUAAAGAGCGUGUAGGCGGCUCGAUAAGUCUGCUGUGAAAGUCCAGGGCUCAACCCUGGAAGGCCGGUGGAAACUGUCGGGCUAGAGUCCGGAAGAGGCGAGUGGAAUUCCCGGUGUAGCGGUGAAAUGCGCAGAUAUCAGGAGGAACACCAAUAGCGAAGGCAGCUCGCUGGGACGUUACUGACACUGAGGCGCGAAAGCGUGGGGAGCGAACAGG